ACCAUGAGUAACCAUGAGUUUCCGCGUUUAACUUUGGAGUAUUUUUGUUGUUAUGAAAUGAUAAAACAUGAAUAGUACUUUACUUAUGACUUCUGUUUUUAAUUUUUUUAAAAAAAAUUUCAAACAACACGGACGAUUAAAGUUGAACGUGGAAAACCAUGGCUGCACUUAAA
rfam:Oryza meridionalis cultivar OR44 (W2112) chromosome 3, whole genome shotgun sequence.